rnacentral:rRNA from 1 species
CUGCCGGGAAAGAAGCAAAAGGCGCCAGAGCCGGGAAAGAAGCGAAAGGCGCCAGAGCCGCUGCUGAAGGUAUGGAAAACGAGGUCUGUUUUCUGGGACUUGUCAUACUGGAAGAUCCACCGUGUGCCUCACAGCCUUGAUGUCAUGCAUAUCACAAAGAACGUGUGCGAGAGUCUGCUUGGUACCCUGCUGAACAUGCCAGAGAGGACCAAAGAUGGGCCGAAAGCAAGGGCAGACUUGAAAUCAAUGGCCAUCAGGCAGGAGCUUCACGCUAAUGAUGAUGAUGAUGAUGAUGAUGAUGAUGAGGCGAAGCAGGACACAGAAAGUCGUCGCAAAGGCAAAAAGGCCAAGAAGACCGAAAAUGACUACCCUCCCGCGUGCUUCACUCUAAGUCAGGAGGAGAUCGAGCAGUUUUUCACCUGCCUCCUAGGAGUAAAACUUCCU